GUGGGGAAUAUUGGACAAUGGGCGAAAGCCUGAUCCAGCCAUGCCGCGUGUGUGAAGAAGGUCUUCGGAUUGUAAAGCACUUUAAGUUGGGAGGAAGGGCAGUAAGUUAAUACCUUGCUGUUUUGACGUUACCGACAGAAUAAGCACCGGCUAACUUCGUGCCAGCAGCCGCGGUAAUACGAAGGGUGCAAGCGUUAAUCGGAAUUACUGGGCGUAAAGCGCGCGUAGGUGGUUUUGUAAGUUGGAGGUGAAAUCCCAGGGCUCAACCUGGGAACUGCCUGCAAAACUGCAUGACUAGAGUACGGUAGAGGGUAGUGGAAUUUCCUGUGUAGCGGUGAAAUGCGUAGAUAUAGGAAGGAACACCAGUGGCGAAGGCGACUACCUGGACUGAUACUGACACUGAGGUGCGAAAGCGUGGGGAGCAAACAGGAUUAGAAACCCCGGUAGUCC
rnacentral:rRNA from 1 species